UACGGAGGGUGCGAGCGUUGUCCGGAAUCACUGGGCGUAAAGGGCGCGUAGGUGGCGCGGGCAGUCAACGGUGAAAGUUCGGGGCUCAACCCUGAAUCGGCCGUCGAUACUCCCGGGCUUGAGCACUGUAGAGGCUAAUGGAAUUCCGGGUGUAGCGGUGGAAUGCGUAGAGAUCCGGAAGAACACCGGUGGCGAAGGCGGUUAGCUGGGCAGUUGCUGACACUGAGGCGCGACAGCGUGGGGAGCGAACAGG
rnacentral:rRNA from 1 species